UCAGUUCAGAGUCAACAAUUCGUAUGCAUGGCAGGAUCUUACAGGAAAGUGCAGUUUGUUCCAGUUUAUUGAACCCUUGAAUACUUACAGAACUACCGAUGCUGUUGAGAUUGUGAAUGUUUAACGUCAUUCUUUCCUCUAAAAGCAUAAGACAGCAUAACAGUGUUGUGAUUUAGCAUUGCAGGAUAUCACAACCCAUCACUCCAAAGGCAGAAGGCUGUAUAUUUGAAACCCUCUCGCUGCAGUGGAGUUUAAAAGCACAUGUUGGCCUCUCUAUUGAUACCGGGACUUGAACCCACAGUGGUUGAACAACUUGAGUGAAGUGCAACCUGAAGUUUCUUCAGUGAGGCCCUCAAAACACACAUCUGGUUCGCAAGGAACUUUUCCGUGGUCACCGUCAAUGAUUUCACAGUUGAGAGCGAAAUGUCAGGAAACCCACACACAUCUCAGAGGCUGGAACCCCCACAUGAUUUUUCAUACCUGACUCAUAUCCUGUUGAAAGAACAAACUGUACAACAUCUUGCAUUAUCAAACUCUCCAUAUGUGUCCUUUAUAAUA